rnacentral:rRNA from 1 species
CACGUUAAUUUUUACUUUAAUUUAAAACUUAUAUACCGCCAUCUUAAGAAACAAUUUUAAAUCUCUCUCUUAAUAAUUAAUAAAAAGUUAGGUCAAGGUGUAAUCUAUAUUAAAGAUUAGAUGAAUUACAUUAAAUAAUAUUUACAAUUAUUUAUAUAUUUAUAAAUAUAAAUAAGAAUUUAAAAGUAAUAUAUUAAUAAUAAUAAUAUAUGACAAAGAUAAUAAAUGUGCACACAUCGCCC